CCAAUAGCGUAUAUUAAAGUUGUUGCAGUUAAAAAGCUCGUAGUUGAACUUCGGAAUUUGCCCAUUGGUCAGGCUUAACUGUCUGAACUGGUGUGACGAGUUCCUACCUUCUGAGGAAUCUUCAUGCCAUUCAGUUGGUGUGGGGGGAAAUCAGGACUGUUACUUUGAAAAAAUUAGAGUGUUUAAAGCAGGCAUCCGUC
rnacentral:rRNA from 1 species